CAACAGGGAUUGCCUCAGUAACGGCGAGUGAAGCGGCAACAGCUCAAAUUUGAAAUCUGGUUCCUUUGGGGACCCGAGUUGUAAUUUGUAGAGGAUGCCUUCGGGUUUGGCCCCGGCCUAAGUUCCUUGGAACAGGACGUCACAGAGGGUGAGAAUCCCGUAUGUGGCUGGAGGUCUAUGCCCAUGUGAAGCUCCUUCGACGAGUCGAGUUGUUUGGGAAUGCAGCUCAAAAUGGGUGGUAAGUUUCAUCUAAAGCUAAAUAUUGGCGGGAGACCGAUAGCGCACAAGUAGAGUGAUCGAAAGAUGAAAAGCACUUUGGAAAGAGAGUUAAAAAGUACGUGAAAUUGUUGAAAGGGAAGCGCUUGCGAUCAGACUUGCCCUUAGUUGAUCAACCGGUGUUCUUCACCAGUGCACUCUGCUAAGGUCAGGCCAGCAUCGGUUUAGGCGGUUGGAGAAAGAUCGUAGGAAUGUGGCUCCCUCCGGGGAGUGUUAUAGCCUAUGGUGCCAUGCAACCAGCUUAGACCGAGGACCGCGCCUUUGUGCUAGGAUGCUGGCAUAAUGGUCGUAAGCGACCCGUCUUGAAACACGGACCAAGGAGUCUAACAUCUAUGCGAGUGUUUGGGUGUCAAACCCAUGCGCGUAAUGAAAGUGAACGGAGGUGGGAACCCUUAAGGGUGCACCAUCGACCGAUCCUGAUGUCUUCGGAUGGAUUUGAGUAAGAGCAUAGCUGUUGGGACCCGAAAGAUGGUGAACUAUGCCUGAAUAGGGUGAAGCCAGAGGAAACUCUGGUGGAGGCUCGCAGCGGUUCUGACGUGCAAAUCGAUCGUCAAAUUUGGGUAUAGGGGCGAAAGACUAAUCGAACCAUCUAGUAGCUGGUUCCUGCC
rnacentral:rRNA from 1 species